UACGUAGGGUGCGAGCGUUAAUCGGAAUUACUGGGCGUAAAGCGUGCGCAGGCUGUUUUGUAAGUCAGAUGUGAAAUCCCUGAGCUCAACUUAGGAACUGCGUUUGAAACUAUAAGACUAGAAUAUGUCAGAGGGGGGUAGAAUUCCACGUGUAGCAGUGAAAUGCGUAGAGAUGUGGAGGAAUACCAAUGGCGAAGGCAGCCCCCUGGGAUAAUAUUGACGCUCAUGCACGAAAGCGUGGGGAGCAAACAGG
rnacentral:rRNA from 1 species